rnacentral:rRNA from 1 species
UACGGGGGGGGCAAGCGUUGUUCGGAAUUACUGGGCGUAAAGGGCUCGUAGGCGGCCAACUAAGUCCGACGUGAAAUCCCCAGGCUCAACCUGGGAACUGCGUCGGAUACUGGAUGGCUUGAAUUCGGGAGAGGGAUGCAGAAUUCCAGGUGUAGCGGUGAAAUGCGUAGAUAUCUGGAGGAACACCGGUGGCGAAGGCGGCGUCCUGGACCAAUACUGACACUGAGGAGCGAAAGCCAGGGGAGCAAACGGG